AUUGAACGCUGGCGGCAGGCCUAACACAUGCAAGUCGAACGAGUGGCGGACGGGUGAGUAAUGUCUGGGAAACUGCCUGAUGGAGGGGGAUAACUACUGGAAACGGUAGCUAAUACCGCAUACCAUCAGAUGUGCCCAGAUGGGAUUCUCUUGUAGGGGGGGUAACGGCUAACCAAGGCGACGAUCCCUAGCUGGUCUGAGAGGAUGACAAGCCACACUGGUACUGAGACACGGUCCAGACUCCUACGGGAGGCAGCAGUGGGGAAGAUUGCACAAUGGGCGAAAGCCUGAUGCAGCCAUGCCGCGUGUAUGAAGAAGGCCUGCGGGUUGUAAAGUACGUUCAUCGGGGAGGCGUUACCCGCAGAAGAAGCACCGGCUAACUCCGUGCCAGCAGCCGCGGUAAUAC
rnacentral:rRNA from 1 species